rnacentral:rRNA from 1 species
GAUGAACGCUGGCGGCGUGCUUAACACAUGCAAGUCGAACGGAAAGGCUAGUGUUUGCACUGGUACUCGAGUGGAGAACGGGUGAGUAACCCGUGGGUGAUCUGCCAUGCACUUCGGGAUAAGCCUGGGAAACUGGGUCUAAUACCGGAUAGGACCAUCGUUUAGUGUGGGUGGUGGAGAGUUUUUCGGUGUGGGAUGAGCUCGCGGCCUAUCAGCUUGUUGGUGGGGAAAUGGCCUACCAAGGGGUCGACGGGUAGCCGGCCUGGGAGGGUGUACGGCCACAUUAGGACGGGGGUACGGCCCAGACUCCUACGGGAGGCAGCAGUGGAGAGGAUUGCACAAUGGGCGGAGGCCUGAUGCAGCGACGCCGCGUGGGGGAUGACGGCCAUCGGGUUGUAAAGUACUUUCGUCAGGGACGAAGCGAAAGUGACGGUACCUGGAGAAUAAGCACCGGCUAACUACGUG